UCAAUACAAUGAAAGUGCGAGGGCUGUCGCUGACCUUUUUCAAAAAGGUCGUGCACGCCCGAGUGCUCUCACACAUCCAUUUCACACCUUUUGUGCAUCACCGCGUGGGCCUCCCCUGAAGGGGGGAGGCCCACGUUUUUUCACACAAACCUCUAUGUAACGUAGAAUGUACUUUUAUAUAUCUUUUGCGGUUAUACGCAAUCAAUA
rnacentral:misc_RNA from 1 species